rnacentral:rRNA from 1 species
CACGUAGGGCGCGAGCGUUGUCCGGAAUUAUUGGGCGUAAAGAGCUCGUAGGCGGUUUGUCGCGUCUGCUGUGAAAACCGGAGGCUCAACCUCCGGCCUGCAGUGGGUACGGGCAAACUAGAGUGCGGUAGGGGAGAUUGGAAUUCCUGGUGUAGCGGUGGAAUGCGCAGAUAUCAGGAGGAACACCGAUGGCGAAGGCAGAUCUCUGGGCCGUAACUGACGCUGAGGAGCGAAAGCAUGGGUAGCAAACAGG